CUAAAACCCUUAACCCCUUUCAGCUCAGUCGUGUCCAGUAGAAUUUCCAGAUCUCCUCUUUUUUCUUUCAUGGCUUCUGCUUGCCGAAGAAUUGCGAGCAGAAUCUCCCAAUCUUCCUUCAGAACACUUCUCCGUACAAAUUCUCCGGCCAAAUCUCCAUCUUCUUCGUUCCCUCUGCCGCCUAAAUCCUCUGCACCUUCCGUUAGCCGAUUCUCUCUCGCCAGGUCUCCGUCGGAGCUGGGAUGCGUUCAAUCGCUUUUGCCUUUUCACAACGCGGUUGCUGGAGCGAGAAUGAUUUCCUGUCUGAGCACAAAUUCGAGGAGUUGUCGUGCGCUUUCUCAGGGUACUACUCUCUGCUGACCCUCUCCUGGUCUCUAACAUGAAAUAUUCUACUUUCUUUUGAAUUGCACAUAAUAUCAAUUGUCAAUAUGCUUGAAAGAAAUAGAUUGGAAGUUUGUGGAGCUUUCCUAUUAUGGUGCAGUGUAUCGAUAUCAAAGCUAGGUUUAUCCGUUCCAAGGUGACUUAAUUGGGCAGAUCACUGCAGUGACAAAGGGAUGUCAGCAAUGGCUUAGUGGAUUUCUUUUAAGUACUGUGACCAAUUCUGCUCAAUUUGUUUAACUAAUUUUGAUUAUUCCAUAUUCAGAGUUGAAAUAAGAAUAUAGUGAUUCUAGUUCUCAUGGCAACUCAGAAAACAAUAUUUUUCGCCAUUGUUGUGGGUCAUAAAUGUUUGAUCUUUGUCAUAGAUAUGUAUGUUUCUUAUUUAUUGAGAUGCACAUCAUAUUAUUUUCUUUUGGCUUCCAUGGAACAAUAUAUCUUGUAAACAAAUGGCGGCUGUUUUUCUUACUACUAGAACAAGCAAGCCUACAAAAUGAGGAAUGACACACUUUGUACUAUGAGCUUAAGAGAUUAUAACA